rnacentral:rRNA from 1 species
UUGAACGCUGGCGGCAGGCCUAACACAUGCAAGUCGAACGGUAACAGGAAGCAGCUUGCUGCUUUGCUGACGAGUGGCGGACGGGUGAGUAAUGUCUGGGAAACUGCCUGAUGGAGGGGGAUAACUACUGGAAACGGUAGCUAAUACCGCAUAACGUCGCAAGACCAAAGAGGGGGACCUUCGGGCCUCUUGCCAUCGGAUGUGCCCAGAUGGGAUUAGCUAGUAGGUGGGGUAACGGCUCACCUAGGCGACGAUCCCUAGCUGGUCUGAGAGGAUGACCAGCCACACUGGAACUGAGACACGGUCCAGACUCCUACGGGAGGCAGCAGUGGGGAAUAUUGCACAAUGGGCGCAAGCCUGAUGCAGCCAUGCCGCGUGUAUGAAGAAGGCCUUCGGGUUGUAAAGUACUUUCAGCGGGGAGGAAGGGAGUAAAGUUAAUACCUUUGCUCAUUGACGUUACCCGCAGAAGAAGCACCGGCUAACUCCGUGCCAGCAGCCGCGGUAAUACGGAGGGUGCAAGCGUUAAUCGGAAUUACUGGGCGUAAAGCGCACGCAGGCGGUUUGUUAAGUCAGAUGUGAAAUCCCCGGGCUCAACCUGGGAACUGCAUCUGAUACUGGCAAGCUUGAGUCUCGUAGAGGGGGGUAGAAUUCCAGGUGUAGCGGUGAAAUGCGUAGAGAUCUGGAGGAAUACCGGUGGCGAAGGCGGCCCCCUGGACGAAGACUGACGCUCAGGUGCGAAAGCGUGGGGAGCAAACAGGAUUAGAUACCCUGGUAGUCCACGCCGUAAACGAUGUCGACUUGGAGGUUGUGCCCUUGAGGCGUGGCUUCCGGAGCUAACGCGUUAAGUCGACCGCCUGGGGAGUACGGCCGCAAGGUUAAAACUCAAAUGAAUUGACGGGGGCCCGCACAAGCGGUGGAGCAUGUGGUUUAAUUCGAUGCAACGCGAAGAACCUUACCUGGUCUUGACAUCCACGGAAGUUUUCAGAGAUGAGAAUGUGCCUUCGGGAACCGUGAGACAGGUGCUGCAUGGCUGUCGUCAGCUCGUGUUGUGAAAUGUUGGGUUAAGUCCCGCAACGAGCGCAACCCUUAUCUUCAGUUACUAACGCGUGAAGGUGAGGACUCUGAAGAGACUGCCGGGGACAACUCGGAGGAAGGUAGGGACGACGUCAAAUCAUCAUGCCCCUUAUGACCUGGGCUACACACGUGCUACAAUGGCGCAUACAAAGAGAAGCGACCUCGCGAGAGCAAGCGGACCUCAUAAAGUGCGUCGUAGUCCGGAUUGGAGUCUGCAACUCGACUCCAUGAAGUCGGAAUCGCUAGUAAUCGUGGAUCAGAAUGCCACGGUGAAUACGUUCCCGGGCCUUGUACACACCGCCCGUCACACCAUGGGAGUGGGUUGCAAAAGAAGUAGGUAGCUUAACCUUCGGGAGGGCGCUUACCACUUUGUGAUUCAUGACUGGGGUG